GCCGGGCGUUGUGGUGGGCGCCUGUGGUCCCAGCUACUUGGGAGGCUGAGGCAGGAGACUCGCUUGAGCCCAGAGUUGGAGGUUGCUGUGAGCUGUGAGGCCAUGGCACUCUACCCAGGGUGACAGCUUGAGGCUCUGUCUCAAAAAAAAAAAAAAGAAAGUAUUUUAGUGUGAGGAAUAUAAGAGAUCUUUGUUUCUCUCUCUUUUUUCUGUUGAGACACAUUCUCAAGCUGUUACCCUUGGUAGAGUGCUGUAGUGUCACAGCUCACAGCAACCUCCAGCUCUUGGGCUUAAGCGGUGCUCUUGCCUCAG
rnacentral:SRP_RNA from 1 species